ensembl:antisense 9330160F10Rik RIKEN cDNA 9330160F10 gene
UUGAGUUGUAGGUUGUUGGCCACAAAGUGAGUAAGGUCGCCGUGGCGGCUCACCGUGCCCUCCAGCUCUAGGGGGCUGGAGAUAGUGGCGCGACGUCCUCCGCCCGCGCCGGUCUCGCCACUGGAUGAAGACCCCCCUCCACCGCACGCCCCACUCAGCCCGUCCAGGCUGCGGCUGUCCUGAAGGCGGCUGGGGAAGGAGCGGCCAGCCCUACCCGCCGCCGCCUCUUCGUCCUCGUCGUCGUCGUCGUCACCCUCUUGCUGCGGCAGCUCCACAUUCAUCUCGACGCCUCCGGGGCUCCCUCGACGGCAGACUCUCAGAGCGGAGGGCUGAUCCUCGCUGGGCUCCGGCUCCGGGUACCAGGAGGACGGGGGCGGGGCGUGCUCGGAACCUGGCACCCCCCGGCGUCCCCGGGCCCCUGACGGCGUCGCCCGGGAGCUCGGCUUGUCCUCCCAAGUGUCCAGCUCCGGCCCAUGGGCGAUGCUGCCGCUCCAAGUCUUUGGGGACGCUCGGGGAUGACGGCUCGAGACCCCAACGCCCUCAGCCUCUUCCUCCCCGGACAGCGUCCGGACUGAGGGCGGCUUCGAGGGCGUUCGGGACGGCCUGCCGCUGAAAGUCGCGGCCUGGUGCUCAGCUCCGACCGAAAGCUCCGGCUCCGGCCCGAGCCGCCCCUGGGCGGCCUCCAUACUGAGGGUGGGGGCCGGAACCGCGAGUCGUCCGCCGGGCUCCCCGGUCAGCGGCGGCGCCUUUAAGGGGCGUUGGCGGAGGCGCGCCGAUUGGCAGCCGGAUGAUAAUGGUCCGGACAGGAAGAGCUCUGUGAUUGGUCGCCACCCCAGGAAGUUCCGGGAGGAGGGCUGUUAUUGAACUGCAGAACACACGUGAAAGCCAGUCGGGUGGCAGCUCCGGGGUGACAGCUGUGCGCGGGGCCCCGCCCCUUCGGAAAGUUGAGGGGGCGGGUCUUAAAAGACCCGAGCCCCGGAGCGCCGGAGUCCCACCGGGGCGGAGCUUAGGCUCUACGUCCACGGUGGUGGUGUCCGGAAUUACCGCCGAGCAGUCGCACUCCACCGGGGAUCGUUUUUGGAAGCUCUAGGGGUUCUUGGAUGCUCAGGGUUGGACCGAACCGAGCUAGAAAACCGAGAAAGAAAAACAGCAGCGCCAAGAGAGAGAAAGCCGGAAUUCCCAGCGGAACGGGGCUGAUUGGUUCCAUCCUUGAAACAUUGACAGACUGGUCGUUGAAGCGCCCAGAGUGACUCACUGUGCAGGGGAAUUGCAGCUCGUGGACUUUCCUGUGCUUUUGUCACUCUUCGGCCUCCUGUCCCCUCUGCGUAGAGCAUUUCUCUCAUUGGAGGAUAAUAUUGAGGGUUGUUUGUUUGUUUGUUUGUUUGUUUGUUGUCACAAGAGAAAAUAUUCCAUAGGUGAAAGAAUCAGACGUUUUGAUAAGCACGCUCGGGAAAAUAAAGGGCUGUGAUUGAGAGUAAGAAGGACUAGUUAGAUGAGGCCUCGGUCGGGAAAGGUCUCUGAUGGGAACUAUCAAGGGCAUCAACUCAGCUUGCUGACAGAGGGAGGAAACCUCAGAGGCAAAGAGGUUUGAUAUAAACAAGAAACGCUGGGGUACGGAGUGUGGGGGAAGGACAGAGAGAAGACACCAGGGCUAAAAUAAAUGAGAAGGGAGAGGAUUAACAACAUCCAGAUCGAAGAUUCAGGACCCCCGGGCCACAUUCCCAGGGCACUGUGGUUUCUGUAACAGAUGGAGAGUCUUUCCAAGGGCCGUGGGACAGGAGUCAAAUGGUAGAAAAGUCAACUGCAACACAGCCAAAGCUCUGGGACCCUUCUAGUUAGCAAAACAAUGAAUUAAUAUUCUUCCUUGGUUUAGAAUCUUUGUAUACCCCCGGCUGUCCUGGAAGUAGCUUUGUAGACCAGGCUGCCCUCAAACUCACAUCACAGAGAUCUUUCUGCCUCUGCCUCUGCCUCCCAAGUUCUGGCUGGGGUUAAAGGCAGAAGGACACCUUUCCUGUUUUUGAAACUGAAUCCUGUGUGGAAAGUGUGCACAAUCACUGUGGCUAGUAAUUGCAGAAUCUUCCUGUUUUUUUUUUUGUUUUUUUUUUUUGCAUCCCUUCACCCUGUCUUUAUUCUUUUUUAAAUUUGUUUUGUUUUGUUUUGUUUGUUUGUUUGUUUUUCGAGACAGGGUUUCUCUGUGUAGCCCUGGGCCUUUGUAGACCAGGCUGGCUUCAAACUCAGAAAUUCGCCUGCCUCUGCCUCCCAAGUGCUGGGAUUAAAGGCGUGCCCCACCACUGCCCAGCCCUGUCUUUAUUCUUGUGUUCCUUGCUCAUUUCUUGAGCUCUUUUUCCUUCAAAAGAAGCCAUCUUUUGCAAGUCUUUUGUUUUCUACUACUAUUACUACUGCUACUAUAAUUACUUUCUCCUCCUCUUCUUCAUGCCAAAGGUGUGCAAAAUAAGAUGACAUUUGGUGUGAUAGUGGAGAUUUUAGUUGGUGUCAUAAGGUUUAGUUGGGACAUUGUCUUCCCUAUUUGGUGACUCCAUUUAGAUUCCUUUUGUAUAUGUACAUGUCUCAGGGAGCCUCUACAGUAGGUUUCCAUAUGGUUUUAAAUGUCCUUUAGUGUUAGCUGUCCCUCCCCAUAUUUCCUCCUUUACCUUCCUUCCUUCCUUCCUUGAUCCAUUUAAUCCUCCUAGUUUCCCCUUUGGCUCUCCAUAACAGUAUAUUCUAUUUCCCUGUCUAAGUACCUGUCUUAGUUUGGGUUUCAAUUGCUAUAAAAGAGACACCAUGACC